CAGGCAAUAUAUGUGACUCUUCGGAGUUUGCAUUGUUAAAUAUGCUAGUCCUUUCAUGAUUAUGUGAUAGGUGGUGCAUGGCCGUUCUUAGUUCGNGGAGUGAUCUGUCUGCUUAAUUGCGUUUCAAAUUACUUAUAAGGUAGCAAUACGCGAUGAAGCUUUCAAUAGUCCUCACGGAUUCACUUGAGUCUCUCGCUUCGCUAUCCUUUCNAAUGCAACGAACGUGACCGCAACCUCUUGUUGCCUUCGUUUAACAUCCUGCAGCUCGCUGUGGGUACUGAGGGCUUCACUCGGUGACUUUGGGCUGAGCAAUCGGUCU
rnacentral:rRNA from 1 species